rnacentral:lncRNA from 1 species
GCUCAAGCCUUGUCAAUGGUGCAUUAGCCCUGUAGGAUGACGUCGCUGUAGAACUGUCACGAACUCCAAUACUGCCACCUGCACGACUACCUACACCUCCACCUCGUGCCCCUCUACCUCGUCCAAAUCCUACCAUUUCCUACAAUAUCUCAAAAUAAAAAAUAUGUACAAAAAUCAAAGUUCUGAUGAAGAUCCAUAUCUGUCUAGUAAAGGAUCGUGCCAUUAUUGAGAUGUCUAUCAUUCUUAA